rfam:Triticum aestivum genome assembly, contig: Triticum_aestivum_CS42_TGACv1_scaffold_132084_2BL
UACAUACUCGCUCCGUCCGGAAUUACUUGUCAUGGAAAUAGAUAAAAAUGAAUGUAUCUAGAACUAAAAUACAUCUAUAUACAUUCAUUUCUCUGACAAUUAUUUCCAAACAGAGGGAGUAUAUG